GACGAACGCUGGCGGCGUGCUUAACACAUGCAAGUCGAACGGCAGCGCGGGCUUCGGCCUGGCGGCGAGUGGCGAACGGGUGAGUAAUACAUCGGAACGUGCCCAGUAGUGGGGGAUAGCUCGGCGAAAGCCGGAUUAAUACCGCAUACGACCUGAGGGUGAAAGCGGGGGAUCUUCGGACCUCGCGCUAUUGGAGCGGCCGAUGGCAGAUUAGCUAGUUGGUGGGGUAAAGGCCUACCAAGGCGACGAUCUGUAGCUGGUCUGAGAGGACGACCAGCCACACUGGGACUGAGACACGGCCCAGACUCCUACGGGAGGCAGCAGUGGGGAAUUUUGGACAAUGGGCGAAAGCCUGAUCCAGCAAUGCCGCGUGUGUGAUGAAGGCCUUCGGGUUGUAAAGCACUUUUGGCGGGAACGAAAAGGACUGUGCCAAUACCACGGUUCGAUGACGGUACCCGCAGAAUAAGCACCGGCUAACUACGUG
rnacentral:rRNA from 1 species